GAAAAAAUGGACGACGUAGACUGGAAUGCACUGCUUCCUGAUAAUAAAGACGUGGACGAACUAUCUGGAAUAUUUACUGAAACAUUCUUAAAUAUCGCGAGGGAGUGCAUUCCCACUUAAUUAGUUACUAUACGUAGUUCUGAUAAACCAUGGUUUAAUGGUGAAUUAAAAAGAGAAAUUCGAAAACGAGACCGUUUUAGAAAAUAUGCCC
rnacentral:lncRNA from 1 species